AUUUAUAUGAUUAAUGCUUACUUGUGAUUUUAGGAUAACUGGAGAUAAUGAUUCCUUUUUUCCAUUGAUAUUACAUAAAUAUUUUCCUAAGUAUUAUGUUACAAUAAAUUGGUUUAGAUUUUUUUUAUAAAAGUAAUCAAUAAUUACAAUGGAAAUUAAAACCAUAAUCAUGUUCAUUGAGGAUUUUCAAUAUGUAACAGGUCAAACAGGAACUUCAAUUGUGAACAUUGCAGAGAACACACUCAUCAGAAGAUGACCCUCAGAAAUAGGACAAUUAAUGAAUAAAAUGGACAGAGGCAGAACUGAAGGAGAUGCAUGAAAUGAGGAAUAUUUCAAAGAUUGCCUGAGCAUAACCACUGCUACUGGAUAAACAUAUGGCAAUAUAAAAGAGCAGGGUCAAUGGAGGUAUCAUACAGUAUAGGCCAUGAGAGACCCUGAAGAAGAAAGUAUUGAACAAAAACAAAAAAAAAAAACCAUUUUGACAUUUAAUGAAAUAUAGGAUCAAAGUCUUACAUGUAAAAUUUGGGCAUGUAAUGACUUUUCUCUAGCUCUAAGACUUAUAACAGUGAUGAUUUGAUUUAAUAUCUUUAUCCCGAUUUGUCGAAAAGAUUUGGACAUAGUGCAUCAAUUAUUUUAAAGUUUUGAUACAACGAAUUCAUUCAUUGUACUUGUAACUGAGUUUUCUGGUGCGACACUGUUUUAUCGGCUUCAAAACUAAGUUUGUGAUUUCCAAACCAGAUUAAUGAGAUCAUGUAAUAUCUUUUAACAUCGGUGACUAUUUAAUCCAUUCUUUUACAUCUCAGAAGUAUUUUUAUUAUUACAGGGAAAAUAUGCAUUGUACAUGUAUCUGUAAUAAACAGGAUUAUAGAAAUUUUCUAUAUAAUACAACACAAUAUUAGCAACUGAAGGCAAAUAUUUUAUCAAGGGUGUGAUCUAUUUAUCAAUAUGGUUUUCAGCAUCUUGCUCUACCUGUAAUGACUUGCUCCAAGUUCCAAUAUUUAAAUUUAAAUUUUGCAAACAUGGUUAUAAAAUUCUUUAAAGCCAAAUAGUUUAGGCACAAAAUGCUUAUAUAUUUCCUAUCAUUUGUAAAGUGUACACUGAAUGAGAUGUGGAAUGUUAGAAUUAAAAUAUUAAAUAUG